CUUUGCUUGCAUGCAUAUGCACUGGACUAAGAUUAAUACCUCGUAGUGGAUGUUUGGAAUAAGCACAAUGGGAGUGUGAAGAUGGAUGAUUACUUAGCAGAAGACGGUGGAGGUAUUGUGUUUCCGCAUAACCUGGUCGUCAUCCGCACACACAUCCAGAGUGAAAGUUGUUUUAAAGUCAAAUGGACUGUAAUAGGACUCCAGGACACCAGCAGCAGCAAGGAAUGUGUUCAACAAAAAAGAGACCACUGUAUUUCAGCCGGCUGCGUGCGGCUUCCGUCGGCAUGGACGCCGGCGAGGCAGCGAGGCGACAGAAGGGUGAUCUCCGAGGGCGCGGUUAUGUUCCGCCAAGCAGGACGGCCUCCUUUACGCCGAGAAAAUAAGGACAGUGAGGCGCUGGGCUCGGCUUAUGUAGAUUUGCAGACCUACUUUUGAACCUGCUGUAAAUGGCGGCUUCAUCUUUCCUUUCAGGGUUACAUUUCUGCAGUCCCUGUGGUACCUAUUAUAGGAUGCUAGGAGUCAUUAAUCACACCAGAGUACAUGUUUCAGUGCUGCGCUCAUGCCCUGUUUCCAAUACCCAUUCAUUAACAGUUUUCACUGUAUAUCUUUUCUUAGCAUAUUCCUCUAGCCCAGUUACACCUGUGUGCCCCGGACUUGCUGCUUUUGCUGACGGACUCAUUUCUCCUCUUACGAUUUCUGAGGAUUUUCUGGGUUUUCCUUCCAUGACCUGACGAUGACCUUGGACUGCGAUUUUGUGCUGACAUUUUGGAUUCAUCUGUCUGUCCCAAGGACUCCGACAAGCUCCAUUUAGUUUGCCUCUGCUUGUCCAUCUGAAAACACCCUCUUCCCCUCCACAUUUUCAUUUGAUUUUUUUUUCCUGUGCAAACCCUAUCUAAUCUGUAUUCCUGUUUAUUUAUCUUAUCCUCUGGCCUCGUUUGUUAAACCUGGAUUUGUUGGAAAUAAAG